rnacentral:lncRNA from 1 species
UGGAACCCGUGAAAAAGCUUGUGGCAAAUGGGGAGAAGGAAGACAGAAAAAGAAGGUUCUGAAGUUCACUCUUGAUUCCACCCACCCUCUAGAAGAUGGAGUCAUGGAAGCUGCCAAUUUUGAGUGCUUUUUGCAAGAGGAUCAAAAUGAACAGAAAAGCUGGGAAUCUCAAUGGAGGGGUGGUAACUAUCAAAAGGAGCAAGAUCACCAAGACUUUGGAGGUGCCUUUUC